rnacentral:rRNA from 1 species
GACGAACGCUGGCGGCGUGCCUAAUACAUGCAAGUCGAACGCUGAAGGAGGAGCUUGCUCUUCUGGAUGAGUUGCGAACGGGUGAGUAACGCGUAGGUAACCUGCCUGGUAGCGGGGGAUAACUAUUGGAAACGAUAGCUAAUACCGCAUAACAGUAGAUGUUGCAUGACAUUUGCUUAAAAGGUGCAAUUGCACCACUACCAGAUGGACCUGCGUUGUAUUAGCUAGUUGGUGGGGUAACGGCUCACCAAGGCGACGAUACAUAGCCGACCGGAGAGGGGGAUCGGCCACACUGGGACUGAGACACGGCCCAGACUCCUACGGGAGGCAGCAGUAGGGAAUCGUCGGCAAUGGACGGAAGUCUGACCGAGCAACGCCGCGUGAGGGAAGAAGGUUUUCGGAUCGUAAAGCUCGGUUGUAAGAGAAGAACGAGUGUGAGAGUGGAAAGUUCACACUGUGACGGUAUCUUACCAGAAAGGGACGGCUAACUACGUG